rnacentral:rRNA from 1 species
CCUACGGGAGGCAGCAGUGGGGAAUAUUGCACAAUGGGGGAAACCCUGAUGCAGCAACGCCGCGUGGAGGAUGACACAUUUCGGUGCGUAAACUCCUUUUAUAAGAGAAGAUAAUGACGGUAUCUUAUGAAUAAGCACCGGCUAACUCCGUGCCAGCAGCCGCGGUAAUACGGAGGGUGCAAGCGUUACUCGGAAUCACUGGGCGUAAAGAGCGUGUAGGCGGAUUUGUAAGUUGGGAGUGAAAGCCUAUGGCUCAACCAUAGAACUGCUUCCAAAACUGCAUGUCUAGAGUGUGGGAGAGGUAGAUGGAAUUUCUGGUGUAGGGGUAAAAUCCGUAGAGAUCAGAAGGAAUACCGAUUGCGAAGGCGAUCUACUGGAACAUAACUGACGCUGAGACGCGAAAGCGUGGGGAGCAAACAGGAUUAGAUACCCCAGUAGU